AUGAAGAGAAUUUCAAUAUGGAAAGCAUAGAUUUCAAAGUCCCCUUCACCGUCACCCUGGAAGGCUCAAUCAAGAUCACGAUCGAGAUCAAGGUCGAGGUCUGUGCCUAGACAAAGACCAAGAUCUGACUCCAGAUGCCGUGGCAGAUCAAGGUCUCGGAGCCCGGAAAGGGCGGCCAAUCCUACAAAUCCUGGUAAUACACUUUAUGUUACUGGUCUAUCUUCAAGGGUCACUGAGAGGGACCUAGAGGACCAUUUUUCCAAGGAGGGAAAAGUUGCUUCAUGCUUUCUUGUAGUGGAGCCACGUACCCGAAUUUCUCUUGGUUUUGCUUUUGUUACUAUGGAUUCCCACGAGGAUGCUGAGCGGUGUAUCAAGCAUCUCAACCAAUCAGUUUUACAGGGCCGCUAUGUCACCGUAGAACGGACUAUAUGGCAUCAGUUAUGUUGGCAACAAUCAGAGAUGAUCGGUUCAUGUCCAUGCAAAUUUAGUGAAACUGCUUGA